rnacentral:lncRNA from 1 species
AAAUGAAAGCGGUAAAUUUAUUACACAUUUUUGGGAAUGUGGGUACAAUUUAUCAAAUGGGGAUACAAUAUAUGAAUUAUUUAACCGUCCGACAUCAUACAUUGAGAUCAAGUAAAAUAAUCGAUCAAGUAAAAUCCACUUAACUACAACAUCAAUUAAUUAAAUGACAAUCAAUUAAUCAAUUAAAUAAUUAUUACUCUAAAUAAUUUAAUCAAAAAAUAUAAUAGAAUAAAUAAUAAGAUUAAAAGAUAAAAAUUAAUAAAAUAGCUAGAUGAAUAAAAUACUACAGAGGUAUGAAUAUGAACAUGUGGGUGUAAUUAAAAAAAUCUAAGGCUGAAUGUCCUAAUAAACUAACCUAACUUAGUGAUAAUAAUAAUAAUAAUAAUAAUAAUAAUAAUAAUAAUAAUAAUAAUAAAAAUAAUAACAAUAAUAAUAAUAAUAAUAAUAAUAAUAAUAAUAAUAAUAAUAAUAAUUAAAAAAGAAAAGAAAAGUAAAUAGAAAGAACAAGCACAUGGGGCAGUAGACACUUGCAGAAGAUGGAGUUUUUUUUCUUCAAAAUUUGAACCAUAUCCAAUAAUUCCAAGACACAUGGCAAGCGAAUAUAAAAAUUAAAUAAAACCAAGUGUUUGUUUCUACUAUAUUCUCAUUGCAUGGAACGUUAAAAUGAGGAUAAUAGAAAAUGUUUGCUGACUUUUCCACCAUACAAAUCUACCAAUAGCAUCAUGACAUAUUGUAUUUCUUUUAACAUAAAAAAGAAUUAAUAAUAUACAAUAACUAUUACCUUCCUCUCUCACAUUAAUUAUGCAGUAAACAUAAACAAGAAAAGAAGAAAAGCAACACAUUCUCUCUAGUCAUGUUCAGUAUCCAAAUCCCAUGUUUAUAAACACAAGGAAAAUUCAAUAUAACACAAUCAUAAAUACCAAACACAUUCAAAACAAACAAUCCGAGCAAAAUAAAUGGUAAUAAGAAAAGAAAAAAAGAAAAGCUACCGGACAUCGUGGCGGCUACGGGAUGAAAUGCGGAAGUUCAUGGUGGUGAGGGAUGUGUCAUUUGGUGGCAUUGGUGCGGAAUAGCUCAUGUGCAUGAGGUAUUGAUUUGUUUUAUGGAAAUACAAUGAGGAGAAGAUGCAAUAAGCAGGGGUUGUAAAGUUGAGUUGGUGAGAAAUAUAUGGUUACCGGUAGUACUAUUGCGUUUGGAUCUGGCGAAAAAUGAUUUUGGCUAUUACUUAGAUGGUUGUUUGUUGGUGAAUGAUGGUUAUGUGAGUUUGGAAAU